GGGCGGCCGGGGCCGAGGGGGGAGCCCCCGCGGGAGCCCCCGCGCCCGGCGAUGCGGAGCGGGGCAUGGCGCCGCCGGGCCUCAGCGUCUGCCUCCGCCUCCUGGCCGCCGCCUUCUACGGCCUCAGCUCCUUCCUCAUCGUCGUCCUCAACAAGAGCGUCCUCACCGCCUACGGGUUCCCGUCCUCGCUGUGCGUGGGGCUGGGCCAGAUGCUGGCCACCGUGGCGGUGCUGCGGGCGGGCAAGGCGCUGCGCGUGGUCAAGUUCCCCGACUUCGACAGGCACGUACCUCGGCGGACGUUUCCUCUACCUCUCCUGUACUUUGGGAACCAGAUCACAGGACUGUUCAGCACAAAGAAACUGAACCUGCCAAUGUUUACAGUCCUGCGAAGGUUUUCCAUCUUGUUUACAAUGUUUGCUGAAGGAUUUUUACUCAAGAAGAAAUUUUCUUGGGGUAUUCAGAUGACAGUAUUUGCGAUGAUCAUUGGUGCAUUUGUAGCUGCUAGUGCUGACUUGGCAUUUGAUUUGGAAGGAUAUAUUUUUAUCCUUAUUAACGAUGCCUUAACAGCUGCAAAUGGUGCCUAUGUAAAACAGAAGCUGGAUUCAAAGGAGCUGGGAAGAUACGGUCUGCUAUAUUACAAUGCACUGUUCAUGAUACUUCCCACCUUGAUCAUUGCCUAUUUCACUGGAGAUGCGCAAAAGGCGAUGGAGUACCAAGGCUGGGCGGACGCGCUCUUCGUCGUGCAGUUUACGCUGUCGUGUAUAAUGGGGUUUAUUUUGAUGUACUCCACGGUUCUUUGCACUCAGUAUAACUCUGCUCUUACAACUACAAUAGUUGGCUGCAUUAAGAAUAUUUUAAUAACCUAUAUUGGGAUGUUUUUUGGAGGAGACUAUAUUUUUACAUGGACAAACUUCAUUGGUCUAAAUAUCAGUAUUGCUGGAAGCCUGGUGUAUUCCUAUAUCACUUUUACAGAAGAGCAAAUGAACAAGCCGUCUGAAGCAGGCAUCAAGAUGGACAUUAAAGGAAAAAGCUCUGUGUGACCAGGGAAAUGCUUUUCUGGAAAGCAAACUCUUUUUGCUCAGCUGAUCACUGGCAGAAUAGAAUGGACGUUUUCCUCGUCUGCCGCAUUCGAUUCUGCCAGCACGGUGCGGCUGCGCGUUGCCCUCGAGUGGCAAGAGCGUGAAGGGCCGAAGACGACUGAGCUACCGGACUAAGCAGACCGCGUUGCAGCGUCCUCGCGAUAGCACCCGAUCGGGCGCAGCCGGAGGAGCGGGGCGGCAGAGCGCCGGCAGGUUUUCGGCUCUGGUUAUUCUUUGCAGAAGGGCAGAGGGAAAUCUCCUAAGGCAGAAACGACGCUUAGCUACAGUCGGUCCCCUUUUCCCCAGCUAGCCUGAAUUUAGUGGGUUCUUGAAGGCCCGGCUCGGCCGUGCCCCCGGCCUUUCGUGCCCUCCGGGACAGCAGCGUGGAAAGUAGUUUCCCUAUGCAAAGUUUUGCAUGUAUUUUACAGGCAUGAGAGAAACAGUUCGAAGAACUGUCACUGAGUUCAGUUGUGAAAGUUUGUUUGUUUUUUCAGUUCUUCAGAGCAGUAGCAGAGUUAUCCUCUCACAACAGGAUAGUUUUUUCUGAUCACGUGUAAGGAAGAAUACUCAGAGGCUCAGUAAAAGAAAAAAAAACUCAGUAAUUUUUUAUGCAGACAAUGUUUAAAAAAAUAUUUUAAUAAGCUUUUUCAGAAUUGCAGACAGGGAAUGGGGGGUAAGAGGGAAUUACUAACAGUGCAAAAUUACUAUGCGUGGAAAAAAAUGUAUAAAAACUAAUUUGUAAUUUCUUUUAAUAUCACUUUAAAUCCUUUUUGAAGCCCAACAAAGAUUUUUCUGUUGAACUGCGUUUUCAAUUCAGGCUGCACUCUUAAAGCACUUCAUGAAAACAGGACACCUGAUCCAGCUGGACACAUCAUGAUAGUGCUUGAAAAAUAUACAUGUUACAUGCAAGCUGCUGCCUUUCUCAAUGCAGUUUGGAAGCAAGUUCAAACAUUCCUGGGCUCCAAACUGUACUGAAUGCUUUUUAAAACAAAAUCAAAUUUAAUAUAUUUCUAGAUUUUUAAAUAGUUCUAGUAGUGCAAUGACUUAUCAAGUUAUAGUGGCUGUAUUUUGAAGAACAUGAACCAAGUAUUGUAUAAAACAUCCUGCAUAAAUGAAAUGUAAAUUAUAAUUAAAUAAUAUUCUUAAAAAUCUAGCUGAGCAUUAUAUACUGGUUGAUUAUGGAAUGUCAGGUCUCUUCUAGGUAUCACCAAAAAAAAAGGUAAGAUUAAAAAAACAAAGCAACAUUCCUGAAAAUAUACACAGUGCUAUAUUUUACACACAAGCCUGAGACAGUUUACUUACUUACUUAUAAACGUUCCUAUAUUUUUUUGGGAAGUAUUUCCAACUUGCAAACAAAAACGCAUAAAAUAAAACUGAAAACAGGACUCUAGCUGCAAAGAUUCUUAGAAGCACUGCACUACCCUCAUUCCGAAGCGCUAUACUGACCAUCUUUGAUAUAAGGCUGUGAUACUUUGGAUAUUAAAAACCAGAUUUAAUUUUUAACGGUGACCUCUUCCUAAAGCAAUCACUCAACAAGAUUAAUGCAGGCCAUGGAUUAACAAGUCUUACUUCUGUGCCUCUCCACUUGAAUUGCUAUUCAACUCUCACUAGAUGUUCACUCCCUCAAGUCAGCAGAACCAGUUAAAACAGAUCAUUCAAACCAUUUCUGGGAACAGUAGGUUAAUACACUCCAAUAACUAAAUAUGCUGAAGAUCUGGAGAAUUUGGCUCAUUAAUGACUGUAAAGUCCAAGUAUAUGUAGUUAGAAAAAAUAAAGGAAAAAAAAAAACCUUAGCAUUUUUUUAUCAAGUUUCAAACCGUACGAUCAUAUAUUUAAAACCAGAAUCCUGAAGACUCAUGUAAACUUUAAAAUUAUUUAAGUAAAAAUAACCAACUGAAAAUUAACAGUACACUUGUAAGCCACAGAAGGAGGAGCUAAGUUUAUAAAUUAUAUAGAGAAAACAUUUUUUCCCUAUUUUUAAUAUAGUAGCAUAUGUAGCUGUGGCUUAUAAAACAAAAGUUAUAAAACAUCAAAAUUAAAAUCCUUCUACUUUAUGGAUGUAAUCCCCCUACUUCAAAAGCUUUUGAAUCAGGGUAGUGGAAAGGUGAGCACAAACUCACCUCAUCCCCAUUCAUAAAAAGUUUUAGUUCCUAGGACUUUAUCUUAAAACAGUUACACAUAACUACUCCCACCUCUUACAUACCUGCGUGUAUAUAUACUUGAGUGUGUGUAUAUAUACACACAUGCACAUAAAUACACACACACACACAUAUAUAUAGUGUAUGUAUGUGUUUGUGUGUGUCUAUAUAUAUAUAUAUAUAUAUAUAUUGCAUGCUAUACCAAAUAUUUAUAUGUGAUGUUUCUGCUCCCACUGAAAUACUCAUUCAGGCAAGGUCCAUUAGUUUCCAGAAAUUCUACAUCAGGCACCAGAUAACCAGUUGCACAUCCAUUUAGUAAAUUUAAACAUUUGGCUAACAUAAAUUUUAUCUGAGCUCAAAAAAUAAAAUGAGAAAAUGUAUAAUGAAAGCAAGAAAAUUUGUGCAAUGCAAGCAUCACGCUUAACAAAUUCUAAGCAUCACUAUUUGCCAUAAAACAGAAAUAUGAAUUCAGAUUUUUCAAAAUAUGACUUCUAACCACUCUUGAUGUUAACAGUUUACUGUACUGUUUUCUGAGGAGAAAAUAGCAUGGUGGUGAAUAAUACGUUUUUUUUUUUUAACUGGUUUGGUUUGGUUUGGGUUUCUUUCUUUUUUUAGAAAAGACUUUAGCAAAAUAAAAUGAAGCUGACAUUAGACUCAGGAUAUCAAUUCUCUCAUAAAAGUUUACCAACUGUACAAGUUAAGAAAAUUAUACAAGCUUUUGUUUUAAGAAAGGACAGUUCAAUCAAGACAUAAGUACUGUAAAAAUCUUUCAAAGGCUACAAAGAAAUCUGGAAAAAUACAGAAUGUAUUUCUUUAGCCCAGAUAAGAAUAUGGAAAGACAUCAUUGAUGUCAACAAUUUUACAUAUACAAACCUGACUUGGUUUAUUUACGUUUUAAAACUUCUAUAUAUAAAAAUAGUUGUGCUCAUAACUUUCAGGAUUCAUAAGGGUUCCUUAACAAUGGGGUAUCACUUUUCCACUUAAAAUGAAUAAAAGCCUUUAUGUCUAUUCUGAUGUAUGUUUUGGAAUUCUGUAUUUCAUUUUAACUUUCCGCAAAAAAUUGAAAUUUGA